rnacentral:rRNA from 1 species
UACGUAGGGGGCUAGCGUUGUCCGGAAUCAUUGGGCGUAAAGAGCGUGUAGGCGGCUCGGUAAGUCCGCUGUAAAAGUCAAAGGCUCAACCUUUGAAUGUCAGUGGAUACUGCCGGGCUAGAGUCCGGAAGAGGCGAGUGGAACUCCUGGUGUAGCGGUGGAAUGCGCAGAUAUCAGGGAGAACACCAACGGCGAAGGCAGCUCGCUGGGACGGUACUGACGCUGAGACGCGAAAGCGUGGGGAGCGAACAGG